rnacentral:rRNA from 1 species
GUGUCAGCCGCCGCGGUAAUACGGAGGGUGCAAGCGUUGUUCGGAAUUAUUGGGCGUAAAGAGCGUGUAGGCGGCCAGGUAAGUCAGAUGUGAAAACCCUUGGCUUAACCAAGGAAGUGCAUUUGAAACUGUCUGGCUUGAGUACGGGAGGGGAAAGCGGAAUUCCCGGUGUAGAGGUGAAAUUCGUAGAUAUCGGGAGGAACACCGGUGGCGAAGGCGGCUUUCUGGACCGAUACUGACGCUGAGACGCGAAAGCGUGGGGAGCAAACAGGAUUAGAAACCCUCGUAGUCC